GCUUCUAUUGAUAUGAUGUUCACCUAUAGGAUCCACCCAUCGCAUGGACUGGGCCCAAGGAAUCACCCGAUGUUACUUUGUCCUUGAAGAUGAAUUAGCUUCUAUUGAUAUGAUGUACCUAUAGGAUCCACCCAUCGCAUGGACUGGGCCCAAGGAAUCACCCGAUGUUACUUUGUCCUUGAAGAUGAAUUAGCUUCUAUUGAUAUGAUGUU